rnacentral:snoRNA from 1 species
GUUGUGGUCUAUCCCAGUGGGCUUUUUCUGCAGCUGCAUAUCCUUGGAAAUGUCUCAUAGCAACUUUGUGGCUUUGCUGUACUCACAGGAUUAUUUGUUAGAUCUGUGAGAAGGAACUACAAGACAGUC